rfam:Oryza barthii chromosome 6, whole genome shotgun sequence.
AAAUAGACAAAUCAUGGGUUUCUGUAUCCAACAUUUGACCGUCUGUCUUAUUUGAAAAAAUUAUGAAAAAAAUUAAAAAGAUAAGUCGCGCAUAAAGUAUUAAUAAUGUUUUAUCAUCUAACAACAAUACAAAUACUAAUUAUAAAAAAGUUUCAUAUAAGACGAACGGUUAAACGUUGGAUACGGAAACCCAGAGUUGGUCUUUUU